rnacentral:rRNA from 1 species
AUGAACGCUGGCGGCGUGCCUAAUACAUGCAAGUCGAGCGAACAGACGAGGAGCUUGCUCCUCUGACGUUAGCGGCGGACGGGUGAGUAACACGUGGAUAACCUACCUAUAAGACUGGGAUAACUUCGGGAAACCGGAGCUAAUACCGGAUAAUAUAUUGAACCGCAUGGUUCAAUAGUGAAAGACGGUUUUGCUGUCACUUAUAGAUGGAUCCGCGCCGCAUUAGCUAGUUGGUAAGGUAACGGCUUACCAAGGCGACGAUGCGUAGCCGACCUGAGAGGGUGAUCGGCCACACUGGAACUGAGACACGGUCCAGACUCCUACGGGAGGCAGCAGUAGGGAAUCUUCCGCAAUGGGCGAAAGCCUGACGGAGCAACGCCGCGUGAGUGAUGAAGGACUUCGGAUCGUAAAACUCUGUUAUUAGGGAAGAACAAAUGUGUAAGUAACUAUGCACGUCUUGACGGUACCUAAUCAGAAAGCCACGGCUAACUACGUG